rnacentral:sRNA from 1 species
GUGGGAGGGAGUCUUUAGUGUGGUUUUGGUAGGAAGGAAAGUGGUUUUCUUAGGAAGGGAAGGGCGAAGCACUGUCAGCAGCUGAGCUGGCCCAGAAUUGCAGUCUGAAGAAUGUCAGUGGGUUUAGGAUAUGGGCGUGGUUUCUAAUUGUCUGGUAUUGCCCUGGGGUGGUUUAGGGCAGCGGAAGAUUGGCUUGGGUGGGAGAGCUCCUUAAAGGUGGUGGUGGGUGUGAGCUCUAGAUCAGGUAGUUUGCAUAUGAAAAGUGUAUUUGCAGGCAAGGUGUAUACUGUCACUAGGAAUUAGCUAGUCCUGGGAGGGGCAGUCCCUCCCCAUAUCUGCAAGUCCCCCAAGAUGUCAACACAUCUUAAAAUACAGAAAAAUUUUUAAAACAGACAUCAUUAAUACACACACAUACACAGAAAGACAUGCACGCACAGCUUCACAGGCCGUUUCAUGACACGCAAGGAAAGCGACCAUUCUGAAGUGAAUGGUGGGGGAGGAAUAGGAUUUCUGGCCUGCAGUGUGUUUUAAACCCUUUCACAGAGAGUAUAUUGUUUGCCUCUCUUCUUUUCCUGUGUGGGAAACCCUGAUUUAGUGCUACCUGGUGGAAAUAGGGCUGGAGAGAGGAAAAGUCCCGUGAAGAACUAGUGGAAGAACUAGGGGUAGAACUCCUUUCCCCUGGCUGUGGGUCCUGGGUUGCCUUUCCCUCUCACAUCGAGCUCUCUACACUCAAACCUGCCACGCACCCCACAGCUGGCUGCCCCAGCUCUUCAGCACUUUGUCUCGUGCUCUCUUCUGCCCCUCCCCUACUUACAUGCACAGACUCAACACAUGGGGUCAGGCAGCUGUUCAUUUGCAGUGUGCAUGAUACUACCUGGCAGUGUGAUAAACAAGAAGGCACCAAGCCCAUGCAGAGAGAGGUGGUGAGUGCCUGUAACCCCAAGAUGCAGGCAGUGUCCAAAAAUCACAGCCUGAAGUCGUGCUGCUCCUCACAGUCAAAUACCAAGUCCUGCAAACCCCUAGCUGUUCCUGAAGCUUGCAUGAGGAAGGGCCAAGCUCAAGAUUGCAGCAGCCCACUGCCCAUGGCUGGCACUUGGCGCAUGUGUUCCUGACAUCAUCCUCUCCUCCCGACUCUAGCGCCUCUUCUCAGUGCUUGUCAGUUUAGAAUCAUUGUUAUCUUGCAAAUACAUCACUCCAGAGGGGUUAAAACUACUAUAUAUAAAGCGACAUGAUAUCGUGUCGAUUGCGUUCUUGGCAGAGCUCCAGCACUGGAGACGUCAGGCUGUUUGCUAAGCACUGAUGGUGCUGCCUGAGGCUGGGGACUUGGCAUUCUGUCUCCUCAGAGCAUGCCAAGAGCGAGCGAAUGAAAGCUGCAGCUGAGUGAAGUUAGGGUCACCAGGAGGCCUUUAGGACCCAAAAUUGCAGACGCCCUGAAGCCAACGGGAAGGGCAGAGCCCAGGAGCACAGGCGGUAGCCGUGCCCUAAUGUAUGGGGACUUUCCCAGGGCACAGGUCCACUGCACGCUUGGGAUGAUUCGGGUGGCAGAGAGGUGGACAAAGUGGCUCUAAACCUCCUCUCAAGGCCUCGGUUUCCAAACCUUUACUGCCCAUAGGAUAAAUUAAGCCUUCUAUCCAGGUCAGAACCCUAGACACCCAUCCCGCUUUCUUCCACCUUGCUCUUCUCACAGUUUGCCCCCAAGCUCCUCUAAGCAGUCCCCUUUGAGCGACUGCAUCUGUGCUGGUCGCCUCCCCCGACCCUCAGCAAUUGCUGUGUGCCUUGUGCCAUUUGCCCAUGAGAACUCCUGAAGAGCCAAGAGCAGGUCUCCUGGGUCCGUUCAAAUGGGCUCCACGCUAGCAGUGGAGGCCAGAGGGAGGCAGCAGAAGAGCUGAUGCACAGGGUCCUCCCCUUUGGUGUGACUUGCUCGUUCUGUCCCCACCGAUUGCCUGAAGCUAGAAGGAAGCAGAGUUGGCCACUGCCCUCCCGCAAGAGAGGAAACUGCCUGGCGGUGCUCUCAGCCCUUGGCACGUGUCCACUCAUUAAUCCACAUAAUAACUCGAUAAGUUCGAUGCUAUUAUUAGCUCCAUUUUACAGUUGCUGAAAUUGAGGCACCAGAAUCUAAGCAGCUUGCUCAAGGGCAUAGGGUUUGUAAUGGCAGAACUGGGCAGGGUCUCAGCCCCGGCCGGGCUUUCUUACCUUUACCACCCGACGGUAAGCUAGGACAGGAGGGCCACACCGUCAUUGGUGCGUGGGCCCUUCCGAUGGAAGGACAGAAUUUGGAGAGAAGGGAUGCAUGGAAAACAAGAAUCCCAAUGGCCCUGAUUUCUCCUCUUGCUAGGACUGCUAGAUCUACAUGUAUCUUGGCAACUAUGGGCAAAACCCACAAGAAUAAAAUGUGGUUAAAUAGGAAGUUCUGCACCAAGAUCCAGAGAAUGCCUUACAUAAGGCCAGGAGCGAAGAGGCCCCGCUUGACUGUAGGGCUUGAGAACUCGGGGAGCUGCCUCAGGCUCCUGCAGGCCCCCAGUGUGCUCUGGCUGCUGCAGCAGUGGUGCGGCCCUGGGGCUUUGCGGCCUCCACAGCACAGUGGGGCAGUGCCACGUGCUCCGCCAGCCCGGCUCUUCUAGCCCAGCCCUGCGCAAGGCAGUGUGGCCAGCUCCCUCCUGAUGAGUAGGGCUAGCGAGGGGAGGGUCAGGACGCCUUUUCGUAGGAAAAUCAGCACAUUUAGGAACUGAGGAUGCCAUCUUGGAAUAUGGACAACCGCACUCAAAUAGCUAGAGGGCUGCAAAGGUGGGAAGGGAGAGGUCACUUCUGUGUCAUCAGAACCAGGACCCUCACAGAGAGGAUCCCAGGGCUGCAGUUUUCAGCCUUAGAGCUAACAGGUCAGGCAGGGCAGGGGUCUGAGCAGCCCCUGCAGCGGGGGAGGGGAAGGUGCCCCGGCAGGGUGGGUGGCGUCCUGCUCUGAAUCUAGGGCCGUAGCCAGCGCUCUCCUCCCGCAUCGCCUGUCUCCCAACUCGGCAGAUGAGGGCAGUGACCCCCGACGCGAAGCGCCGCCCGGCGCCGACCCCAGGGAGUACUGCAUGUCCGACCGCGACAUCGUGGAGGUGGUGCGCACCGAGUACGUGUACACGCGGCCCCCGCCAUGGUCCGACACGCUGCCCACCAUCCACGUGGUGACGCCCACCUACAGCCGCCCGGUGCAGAAGGCGGAGCUCACGCGCAUGGCCAACACGCUGCUGCACGUGCCCAACCUCCACUGGCUGGUGGUGGAGGAUGCGCCGCGCCGGACGCCGCUGACCGCGCGCCUGCUGCGCGACACCGGCCUCAACUACACGCACCUGCACGUGGAGACGCCCCGCAACUACAAGCUGCGCGGAGACGCCCGCGACCCACGCAUCCCGCGGGGCACCAUGCAGCGCAACCUGGCCCUGCGCUGGCUGCGCGAGACCUUCCCGCGCAACUCCAGCCAGCCUGGCGUGGUCUACUUCGCCGACGACGACAACACCUACAGCCUGGAGCUCUUCGAAGAGAUGCGCAGCACCAGGAGGGUGUCCGUGUGGCCCGUCGCCUUUGUGGGUGGCCUGCGGUACGAGGCCCCACGGGUGAACGGGGCAGGGAAGGUGGUCGGCUGGAAGACGGUGUUUGACCCCCACCGGCCAUUUGCAAUAGACAUGGCUGGAUUUGCCGUCAACCUGCGGCUCAUUCUGCAGCGAAGCCAGGCCUACUUCAAGCUGCGAGGUGUGAAGGGAGGCUACCAGGAAAGCAGCCUCCUUCGCGAACUUGUCACCCUCAAUGACCUGGAGCCCAAGGCAGCAAACUGCACCAAGAUCCUGGUGUGGCACACACGGACAGAGAAGCCAGUGCUGGUGAAUGAGGGCAAGAAGGGCUUCACUGACCCCUCGGUGGAGAUCUGAGCCUCAGGAUGCAGGAGCCUCCUCCUCAGACCCUGUUCUUGGCCUUCCAUCCUCUCCCCACAGCUGACGGUCCCUCCAAGGCCAACUCCUAAGGAAUCACCAUCACCCUCCUUUCUAUUCUGGGGGCUUCUGAGAGAGCCCAGCCUGAUGCCAGAACAAAGGACAGAGAAUUUAAGCACAGAAAUCCCAGACCUGUUGUUCUCUCCAUCCAGCGUGACCAGGGCCCGAGAGACCUGAUGGCCAGGGUGGGGUGUCCAGCACCAGCCAAGCCGGUGCUCCAGCGCGCCUCCCCAGAGCUGCCCGCUCUGAUGGGGCUGCAGGAGCAGGUGCAGUGGGCACCCACAUCGGCCCUGCAGUAAUGCAGGGCGGGAGGGAGAUAAGAAGACCCCACAGUCAAGUGGAGCAUGGCCCUCCCUGGCUCCCUGUCCCUGGGCUCAGCACAACCACACAGGACACCCAGCCAGGGAAUUCUGAAGACCAGAGAGCAGCCCACGGGCAUCACGAGCACUCUGCUCCUCUCCUGGGCCCCUGCUUUUCCCGAGAGCUGCCCCCAAAUCAGACAUACCUCUGUGGGUCUCCUCUGGUUCGUGUUUACAGAGCGUAAGGCUGUCUUUGAUCCCAACAGGCACCCAGCCCUGCAUGGGGGCAGCCUGGGCCUAAUAGGCACCCCCUGUACCUCAGGCUGUGGCGGGAACAUAGUCCCCUCCUCCGGCCCCUCUUCCUUUACCCCUUCUCCUCCAGCAAUGGCAAAGGGGUGGCCUCUAGAGCCAGCACAGGUCACUGCCUGACCUGGACUAAGAACCCCACCGUCCACACACUGCCUCCCCACCGCCCACGUCGGCUGCUAGGGCCCUAGCCUGGACUGGACUGGGGAGGGGAAGCGCCUUUUCCUGCAGCUCGUCAGAGCCACAGACCUCAGGGUGGAGUGAGCCCAUGGUGGGCAGUGGGCAAGGUGGGACCUCCUGCAGCCUGGAAAGAGGAGGGAGACCAAGGCCAUUCCCUCCCUCCUGUCCCUGGUCUGAGGAGGAGAGGCUCUGGAGUAGCAGAGGGGCUGGGGAAAAGGGGGCAGGGGCUGGUGGGACACUGAACAGGAGGGAGGCCUGAGCACACUGCUUUGGAAAUUAUUCUAAACACAAAAAAGGGAAAGAAAAUGUUACUUCUCCCUAAGUCAGGAGCAUGCAAAGCUAGCCCACCUCAUGUCCAGCUGUCCACUUUCCAUCCUGGAGAAAGAACAGUGUGCCUCAAACUACUGCCCUCCCCAGGCCUCCCGGGCCCACUAGAAAGGGCUCUGACUCCCUCUGGCCCGGCCGGGCUCUCUACUGGUGAUCUGGCUCGUUCUCCUGCAAGUUGGAAGCACAAUUUUCCCCCCAGGUGGAGGAAAAGGAAAGGGCCCCAGCCUACUGAAGAGGUGUUUAUUUUUUAACUAACAGCCUCCUACCCCGUUAAGACUCACCAGGACAGGCCUGAGGGCCAUUCAGAACCCACUCCUGAGUGGGUGGGCGGGUGGGACUCAGUCCAGAGACCUAACGUUCAGAAUAUAGCAUUGGUUGCCUAUUUUGAGAUGGAUUUAAUCUCCCACAGUAUUCAUGAGACCAUCUGAUGUAAUCAGAUCCCUGAGCCACCUUGCAGGACGUUUUCCCCAACCUCUUACACCCUGGAUGUCACUUUGGAAACCAAGCUCUUGGAAGCAAGUGGGGUGGCAUGGGAGAGAAGGGAGGAGGUGAGCACAGGUGGUGAACUUAUGUGUGGGUACUCUACUGCCUCACAGAAGCCAGCUGAGUGCCAAGGUCAGCUUGGCUGGUCUGAGGCCACCUUCUUAGCCAAAAACCCAGGGUUCAUUUUCAGGACAUUGAUAAUGAACAACAAAAUGGGGACUUCUUUGGGCAGAUGCUAGGUCAGUUGUUUUCACCUAAUAUCCUCUUUUAGCUGCAUGUAUAUUUAUUUAUAAUUGUAACCCUGGUGGACUGCAGCCUUCAUCUUUGUUGGGAAUGAGUUUGUUACAAAUCAGAAAUGGGUCCAUGAUGACGACUGUUUUCCAAACCCAGUCUGUUCCCUGCUCCCUCGCUGGCAAGCCCCACCACACAGGAGUGAGGCCAGGGGCUAGGAGUUCCAAGAACAGAGGCUGGGGUGAGGGUGGCACCCAGGCAGCUGCAUCUGGUCUGUUUUAAUUUAACUGUAUUUAAUUUGCUUUCAAAAUUAAAAGUCAAAUACAGUUUUUAACAGUCCUAA